ensembl:lncRNA
GAGACUUGAUGUGCUGAAAUUAUAAUGCAGAUAAAUCUUUUUAAAAGCAGGUUUUUAACACCAGCAUUUCAGGCACUGCAAAGACAACAAGUUACAAGACCAUCAGCAAGUAUAGGAACAAAUUUAUUUAAAUUUAAAACAGAUACUUUAUAAUUUUUUUUUUUUUUUAGAAGGCGGUUAUGAAAAUCAUUUCCAUGUUUGAAUGAGGUUCAGGCAACAGUGGUUGAAAUGAAACAAAUACAAAUAAAAACAACAAUAAAAUAUGGCGAGAAUGUUGUAAAAUUAAUUUCCACUAUGUUUUCUCGUCUUGAUGAUUUCGAUGUUUGUCUGAGCCCACAACUCCCACCUGGACAAAGAGCACAUGCUUUAAUAAUUACAAUUCCUUAAAAAAAAAGAAAAGAAAAGAGAAAAACAGCAGUUUAUCUUCUAACUUAAAUACAAAGUAAAUCCAUUUACUCUCUUCUUUAGUGUUUUACUCAUUUUUAAAAGUGGACCAUGUCUAAUUUCACAGUCCGCAUGUGAUUCGGACAACAAUUGGCACUUGUUACGAGUCGGUCUCAGAGAAGGGGAUUGGCACGCACAAUAUUAUACAACAUUUACAUUUGGUAUAAUUACAAAAUAAAAGGGUACAAAGAAGCAGAAAAAUAAUGAGUGAGAAAACCCAAAUAAAAUGUACAUGAUCAAGUGGUCCUGGAAAUAACAGCUUUCAGGCAAUGCAUUACAAUGAAAGAACGGGAUGAAAAGCAGAAAUCAGAUUUUAGUGACUCUUUCAUUGGGUCUGGACGUCAACCAUUCGGCCGUCCACCACACAGAUGCACCUAACCGUACCAGUAAACAUGCUUUCAUGGAAAUAACAAUCAUCUUGCUCUGUUGUCUGCAACGGGCCAGCAAAUCUGACUACAUGUCAAUAAGCUUAUGUGUUCACUGCAUCUCACUAAGAGAGUUUUACAAGUGCUCAAAUGCAAAGAGUCAUUGAACUGAAUCACAACCAUCAUGAGAACUCAGACACAGAACUCAAGAGGCAAGCGACCUUAUGUUAUGCACACUAGAGAAAGAUAGGAAUGUGUACAAUUUUUUUUUUCAAGCCAGAUAAGUCAAAAGUGAAUACAGUGCAAUUGGCUGCCACAAAAGCAACAUCCACAGCCAAUCUUCCUUAAUUCAGGAGUAAUAACUUUCGGUAUAAUGGCACAGACACUUGAAGGGAACUCUAGCGCCCUCUUGAGUACUGAGGAUUAUCAACAAGACAGGUUUCCAAUGCUUUGCUCAAGCAUUUAUGCAUUUGUAUAUGGUAUUUUCUAGCCUAAAUUAUAUCUAAACUGUUACCCAGAACAGCCAAAGCCUUCAUAACUGAUAUGUCUAUUCACUUGUCCGCUACAGAACUCAAACAAAAGCAGUGGGACAGACACUUUCCACGUACCACUUGGAACCCGGGACCUGUUAGGAAGAUUGUUUUGGCCUGAGAAAGGUGUUGUUUUUGAGGGAACGUCGAAUACGAGAUAUCUGGGACUGGCACAUUUAUAGAUAUGUGUAGCUGGAAUGGUCGGCCUGCAGCUCGAAGCGUUUGCAUGGAAAAACCAAAAAGUGCAUUAAGAACAAUCAAGCUGUGCCGAAUAACGCCCCCUUUGUUUUUUCUUGAUAAGAAAACUGUUCUCAUAGUGAGCAGACCUCAACUCGAAAGUCGCAGUAAACUAAGAUCCAUUUGAACACUUUAGAAUAGGACGUACAUCCAAAUAAUGGUAUUUCAGUUUGCUUCGUUUCAUCAGUUUCUUCAAAUCUAACUCACUACGAAGAGCGAAGAAAACACUGCAGGAUUUACAAAAUGGUGUGACAUUUCCAAACCCCACUUAAACACUGAAUUACACGGGUUCAGUUUACAAAUAACACGUCAGGUUUUAUAUCUAUCAAGAAAACGUUUGGGAGUUUGUUUUUCUAGUAGAGCGUCUGAUGACCGUGGCAUGUGAUUAACUCAGAUGCAUGGCAGCAAAAGUGAUAAAAUGAUGAAUAAUGCAUGAGUGUUUGGUGAUUGGUUUCUGCAAGUACUGAAUCGCACUUUGAACUGUGACCAAUCAUUUCUGGUUUUCAUGUGGCGUGUUUUUCGUAGCCCUUGAUGAAAAUGAAUGAAACGUCACCUGUAUAAAAUAGAACACUUUUUUUCUAUCUGUGCAUCACAUACACAGUGAAGGAAACAAGCUGUGAAUUUAUAAAGAAAUCAAAAUGAAAUCAGAAUCGAAAGAAAAAGUCACUACUUGCAAGCGUUGACCAAAUAGAUCUUCAAUCACAUAAAAAGCUGUCUAUUUUCAUAUGGUACAUUUCCUAUGUUUGUUUUUAAGCACUUCACCUAAACAUUACUUGGAAAUUUAACAAUAAAAAAAAAAAAAAAUUCUGUAGGAAAGUGAAAAGUGUGGUUAGGGAAAAUAUUUAUAGUAUAAUAUAUUCUGUGUUUUGGGGAAGAAAAAAAAAGAAGAAAAAAAAAAGGGCUGAUCAUUUUAUCCAUAACGGAGGUUUAUACAGCAGUAC